UACCCCACUAUGCCUAGCCAUAAACUUUGAAUAUCCGCCAGAGUACUACGAGCCACAGCUUAAAACUCAAAGGACUUGGCGGUGCUUUAUACCCCCCUAGAGGAGCCUGUUCUGUAAUCGAUAAUCCACGAUAAACCUCACCACCUAUUGCCAAUACAGCCUAUAUACCACCGUCCAGCCCGCCCCUCAAAGGAAAAACAGCAGGCACAAUAAUCAACAUUAAAACGUCAGGUCAAGGUGUAGCAAAUAAGAUGGAAAGAAAUGGGCUACAUUUUCUAAUUUAGAAAACACGGAUGAUUCUAUGAAAUAAUCUCUGAAGGAGGAUUUAGCAGUAAAAAGAAACAAGAAUGUUCUUUUUAAACCGGCAAUAAAGCGCGCACACACCGCC
rnacentral:rRNA from 1 species